UGGUUGCUGUUUCGAUCAACUAUUUUGAGGUUAUUUUUUCACUCGAUUCUUUAAAUUUAUGAAGUAGUGAUGGUUUAUUUGUGUCAUCUUCCAAGAAAAAAUACACUCCAAUGGCGGCGUCUUCUUCAACAUCAUUCGUUAAGGAGAGCUAUCAAUAUGAUGUGUUUUUGAGUUUUAGUGGUGAAGACACACGUAAGAACUUUGU
rnacentral:lncRNA from 1 species